UACCACAGCCCUGUCUCAUUGAGGUU
rnacentral:piRNA from 1 species